UACAGAGGGGGCAAGCGUUGUUCGGAAUUACUGGGCGUAAAGGGCGCGUAGGCGGCCUGUUAAGUCGAACGUGAAAUCCCCGGGCUCAACCCGGGAACUGCGUCCGAUACUGGCAGGCUUGAAUCCGGGAGAGGGAUGCGGAAUUCCAGGUGUAGCGGUGAAAUGCGUAGAUAUCUGGAGGAACACCGGUGGCGAAGGCGGCAUCCGUGGACCGGCAUUGACGCUGA
rnacentral:rRNA from 1 species